UACGGAAUGUGCAAACGUUAUUCGGAAUCACUGGGCUUAAAGGGUGCGUAGGCGGGCUGCCAAGUUUGGGGUGAAAUCCUCCGGCUCAACCGGGGAAGUGCCUUGAAUACUGGCGGUCUGGAGGGAGGUAGGGGCGUGCGGAACUAACGGUGGAGCGGUGAAAUGCGUUGAUAUCGUUAGGAACUCCGGUGGCGAAGGCGGCACGCUAGACCUCUUCUGACGCUGAGGCACGAAAGCCAGGGGAGCGAACGGG
rnacentral:rRNA from 1 species